rnacentral:lncRNA from 1 species
AAGAAGUCAGGCCGGAUUAAGCCAUAGCACGGUAAGAGCUAUGCUGCCUGUGAGCCCCGUCUAAGGACGUAAAAUGAAGUCAGGCCGAAAGCCACGGUUUGAGCAAGCCGUGCUGCCUGUAGCUCCAUCGUGGGGAUGUAAAAACCUGGGAGGCUGCAAACCAUGGAAGCUGUACGCAUGGGGUAGCAGACUAGUGGUUAGAGGAGACCCCUCCCAAAACACAACGCAGCAGCGGGGCCCAACACCUGGGAAAGCUGUACCCUGGUGGUAAGGACUAGAGGUUAGAGGAG